rnacentral:tRNA from 1 species
UGUCGGCCUGGGACAGGGUGAUCCGCCCGCUCGGCACGGGCGCGAACCCCGGGCCGUCACCGCGGUCGGCGGCC